AGAGAAAAAAGAAAAAAAAACGUAAUUGAUAUUAUAUUUAUCUAUAUGUGAUUAAAUAAAACGUUUAUAAAAAAAAAAAAACAUGUGUGGGCGGGGUUAUGUCAUUUUCAGGCGCUUGGUGUUUGAAAACAUAAAAAAAAAAAAGCAAAAAUUCCUCUGGCAGUGAAAGAGUUAAAGAUUUCAAAUCUUAUUUAUUUAUUUAUUUAUUACUAUUUAUUUGGGAAGCGCGCAUAUACCACCGGUCGGUGGUGCCAAAUCUCCCACUCAUGACAUCACAAAGCUUGUUUACUCGCAGGCGGAGCAAAUCUCCCUGACUCCUCCCACUCGUGACAUCACAGUAGCAAGGCUUAAGUAGCAGGCGGAUCGGACUAGCUGCUCAGUUGUGACUUGAGCUUCAGGAUUUCUUACAGAGCAUUUGAUCUGAAAGAGAAGAGAGAAGAGCCAAUCACAAGCUUUUAUAAAGCACAUGAGAGAGACGAGAGAGGCGAGGCAAACGCCAGAUCUGAUAAAGCUUUCGAGCUUAGCAGCACAACAAGGAUUAGAACCAUGAACACAUACGAAGAAAAGCCAAAGUGGAGCCUAAAAGCUUUCGUAAAGAAGGCACUGAAGGGAGAAAAACAGGACCACGAGGAGGAAAAGAAGUGGAAAAAGGUGAAAAAGGAGCUUAAGAAAAAUAAAGAGGAGCGGAAAA